AGUGAACGCUGGCGGUAGGCCUAACACGUGCAAGUCGAACGGCGGCACAGUAAGAGCUUGCUCUUACGGGUGGCGAGUGGCGGACGGGUGAGGAAUACAUCGGAAUCUACUUUUUCGUGGGGGAUAACGUAGGGAAACUUACGCUAAUACCGCAUACGACCUACGGGUGAAAGCAGGGGAUCUUCGGACCUUGCGCGAUUGAAUGAGCCGAUGUCGGAUUAGCUAGUUGGCGGGGUAAAGGCCCACCAAGGCGACGAGCCGUAGCUGGUCUGAGAGGAUGAUCAGCCACACUGGAACUGAGACACGGUCCAGACUCCUACGGGAGGCAGCAGUGGGGAAUAUUGGACAAUGGGCGCAAGCCUGAUCCAGCCAUACCGCGUGGGUGAAGAAGGCCUUCGGGUUGUAAAGCCCUUUUGUUGGGAAAGAAAAGCAGCAGGUUAAUACCCCGCUGUUCUGACGGUACCCAAAGAAUAAGCACCGGCUAACUUCGUG
rnacentral:rRNA from 1 species